rnacentral:rRNA from 1 species
GCUGGUUCUCCGCGAAAACUAUUUAGGUAGUGCGUUGGAUGUAUCCCUCGGGGGGUAGAGCACUGGAUGAGGAAUGGGGGCUUACCGCCUUACUGACUUCAACCAAACUCCGAAUACCCGAGAGGACUGUCCAGCAGACACACGGCAGGUGCUAACGUCUGUCGUGGAGAGGGAAACAACCCUGAUCACCAGCUAAGGCCCCCAAAUCGUGGCUAAGUGUGAAAGGAUGUAGAGACCCCAAAACAACCAGGAUGUUGGCUUAGAAGCAGCCAUCAUUUAAAGAAAGCGUAACAGCUCACUGGUCUAAACAAGGGUCUCCGCGCCGAAAAUGUAACGGGGCUAAAGCCAUACACCGAAAUCGCGGGCUCGCAAGAGCGGUAGCAGAGCGUUCCGCAAGUCAGUGAAGGGAUACCCGCGAGGGAUCCUGGAGAUACCGGAAGUGCGAAUGUUGACAUGAGUAACGAUAAAGGGAGUGAGAGACUCCCUCGCCGAAAGUCCAAGGGUUCCUGCUUAAAGUUAAUCUGAGCAGGGUUAGCCGGCCCCUAAGGCGAGGCCGAAAGGCGUAGUCGAUGGGAAGCAGGUUAAUAUUCCUGCACCCGGAGGUAGUGACGAAUGCCGUAAAUCGUCAUCCCUUAUCGGAUUGGGAUGGCGGUGAUGGUGUUCCGGGAAAUAGCUCCUCCGUACGGACCGUACCCGAAACCGACACAGGUGGACUGGUAGAGUAUACCAAGGCGCUUGAGAGAACUAUGUUGAAGGAACUCGGCAAAUUGCACGCGUAACUUCGGAAGAAGCGUGACCCUCAUUCACGCAAGUGGGUGAGGGUGGCACAGACCAGGGGGUAGCGACUGUUUAUCAAAAACACAGGGCUCUGCGA